rnacentral:lncRNA from 1 species
AAUACAUAUUAAGUUAAGAUGUAUUUAUAUGUGUAUGUACAUAUAUUGAAUGAUUGUUAUUUUCAUACCCAUAUUUUAAUAAGUAUGCUCUUUGGUGACAACUUUACACUUAACUUUCAUAUACCUCAAUACUAUUAUACUGAAAUGGUUAUUAAAACAAUAGCACACAUCUAAAUUUUUGUUUGAUAUUUUACUUUUAUUAAUUCUUUUUUUAAAAAUAUUUUUAUUAGGUAUUUUCCUCAUUUACAUUUACAAUGCUCUCCCAAAAGUCCCCCAUACCUUCCCCACCACUCCACUACCCACCCACUCCCACUUUUGGCCCUGGCGUUCCCCUGUACUGGGGCAUAUAAAGUUUGCAAGUCCAAUGGGCCUCUCUUUCCAGUGAUGGCCGACUAGGCCAUUUCUGAUACAUAUGCAGCUAGAGACAAGAGCUCCAGGGUACUGGUUAGUUCAUAUUGUUGUUCCACCUAUAGGAUUGCAGAUCCCUUUAGCUCCUUGGGUACUUUUUCUAGCUCCUCCAUUGGAGGCCCUGUGAUCCAUCCAAUAGCUGACUGUGAACAUCCACUUCUAUGUUUGCUAGGCUUAAUGAAAGCAUAUUUACAUUUCUUUCAUGCUUCACUUUUCAGAACUUAAGCCCUGAUGCCUGUGUGUCAGGUAGUUUACCAACUUGUUAUCUUUGCCAAAUUCACAAAAGCUGAUUGCUAAUGGCUUAUUCAUAUGGCUAACAUACUACAAUUGAGUUGUGAAAUCAGCAUAAUUUCUUCUUUUAAAAAAUAGUUCAUUUCAGAUUUCUGUAUACUUCUAGAAUUGAAAGUAAGUCGUAUGUUCUUCUUCAUCUUUAAAAUUUUAGUCUAAUACUCUAAUUAUAAAAUAAGCCUUUAUCAGAACCCUGCUUUCUUGUUUUAUUUUUCCUCUUUGUAAGCACUAUACAUUUUAUUAUUGUAAUCUCUACUUCACUAUAAGAAAAGUACAUGGCUCAAUACGGGUCACUGUUUUUCAUUUAAAUAACAAUAUUUGUGUCACCACUGUCCAAGGCAAAAAUAUUGAUCACUACUGAAUGUACCAUUAAACAGUGACUUCACCAUAGGCUUCAAGGAGCAUUACUCACAUUUGAGGAACAGAGAUGGCAUGCAGUGCUCAGUUAGCAUCUGUUUGUCCUUGAUGUUUCCUUUUAUCACUUAUAGACCUUAGCUUAUGUAAUGAGCAUGCACUUAAACUGCAGCUUUCCUCCACUCACUCUAAUUGCAAAGCUGAGCUACAAGCCUCUGAGCUUAAUGUGACAGUUUCAUUAAGUUUAGAGUUUCUUUCGGUUUGUAGGUUUUCUUGUAAAGAUCCCUCAGUUCUUGACGAACUGACAACUAACUUUAAAUUAUUGUUAAAGCUGAUUUUCCCUUUAAAAUGAUCUCUAAUGCCCAUCCUGUUUUAGGACCCUUACUCUUGCUUUAUUAUUUUCUGAUCAUGGGGACAGAGCCACUAGCUUUGAGUGUGCUAGUAAAUUGAACUGAUGGUGAUCUGUAUUUCUAGUUCCCGUUAAAAAUUGAAAAAAUAAAAAAAUACCCUGACUAGAUAGCUUAAGCAGGUCUUGAGCUUGUGGUCCUCUUGCAUAAACUUCCAGAGUAGCUAUGAUCACAUGUUGUGGG